UCCAAUCGGAACGCUGUCGCUGCCGCAUCUCACCCCCUGUCAUCCAAACACCUCUCCCCUCCCUUGACCCGGUGCUACUCAUUCCUGGUAUUGCCGGUUCCAUUCUUGAAGCUGUUGAUGAGGCUGGAAACAAGGAGCGAGUGUGGGUGCGCAUCCUUGCUGCAGAGCAUGAGUUCCGAGAGAAGCUAUGGUCCAAGUUUGAUGCCUCCACUGGUAAAACGGUUUCUGUGAACGAGAAAGCAAGAAUUGUCGUCCCUGAUGAUAGAUAUGGAUUGUAUGCCAUUGAUACAUUAGAUCCAGGCAUGUGCUAUCUGGGACUUUGGAGGUUUUGAAUUUGGACUUACACUGGAAAAAAAGAUCGGGACUAGAAAAUAGGUUGUUUGAUAAGGAAAUGGAGUAAGUCAGAUCUAUUUGAAUUUUUGUAGCACUCGAAAUUUUCUAUCAGGCACAUAUUAUGUAGCUUUUGGGGGCAAAAGGAUGUUUUUUACUGGAUCUGCAACAAUUGUUUUUGCAAAGUUAUCAUUUCCUCUUUCGUUUUUUUCUUCCUUUGAGAAAUCAAAUAGCUAUUCUUUAGAACUUUCUUUGUUUGAAGAGUCUUGAAUCCUUGAUUAUUUUUCAUGAGAUGAUAUUUGGUCUUAGAAUGUGACCUUCCUCUCAGCCCCUUACUCUCUCUGUCAUCUCUUUAUCUGCGCAAGAUCUGAUUGUGUCGGAGUCAUAUUUCUGUAUUUACAAACACAACUAGCAUGGCCAAGUGGACCGUAGCUCUUUCUGUAAACUUACCAUAUUGGUUUGUUGGACAAUCCGCUUGCGUGUGUGCAGUUGACCAGAAGAAAAAAAAGAUCAUCAAUUUCCCAGUUGGGUAUCAGGAGGGAUUGAUACAUUUCUGCUUCAUUUGCUUACGGAAGUUUAAUUUUUCAGCAUCAAUUUCGGAUUAAUAAUUCAUGUUCCAGUUAGUUAAUAGAAUCUGCUUAGUAUAGCUAUAAACCAGGAUGCCUUCUGAUCUGUUGAUUUCCUGAUUAGGUAGCUGAUCUUCUCUUUCUUUUUUGAUUUACAGUGACUCAGGUCAUAUUCUGCUAAGCCCAUGUGAUAGGGAGUUAUUUAAUGCUCAUAUGUCAUAUCCGAUGGAUUGUUAGGCCUCCCUCAUGAUGAUUCUAACAUUUUUGUUAUUAACUUAUUAUCAUGCUAAUAAAGUUGGCUACAUUUUGGGGGAAACAUGUAUAGUUUUUUUUAUUAAUGUUCGAGUCUUGAGUGCACAAGAAAGGAAGUUAGGAAAGGAGAACCCAACAAAUAUUAAUUAAACAGUUGUAGGAUCACUUGUAUCUUAGAGUAAUUUAAGUGUGCUAUUCAGUUUGUCUAUAUUCAGUAAGAGAACAAGGAGCCUUCAGCUAGGGGGUAAGCCUUGCUUUGUGUGCUACCUGGAAAGUAUUUUGUUUGCCCCUAACUUUUUUGUAAACAUUCACAAUAAGAGUUUUCAAGACUGGGUACAAGUGCAAUUGGGAUAGCUAGCUAUCUUGAAAUUUUUAUUAUUUAAACUUCCUGAGAAGCAUGUCCACAACAUGUUAGAUAAAAUGCCUGCCUAGAUGGGCUGUAAUUUUUUUAUUGGAUGAGAAGGGUCUCUCUGGCUUCAAGUACUUAAAUCAUUACAAUUGACAAAACAGAAUAAAACUGAGUGUAGGCAAAUAUCCAACACACUUAUUUUACUGAGAGGCAGCCCUUAGUUCUCAUAUUCAAAUAACACAAUCUGGGUUUUCAAGAAGUGGAUUGUUGAACAUGUGUGCUGAAGAUCGAAUUGAGGAUACCGUGAUGCUAACGGUGGAUUAUCGACCCAACGGAAAUAAUAAAAAGCAAGGCAAAAGAGCCUUAGAUGGUACAACAGAAAUAUAUCAAUUAAGUAAGGCCAGACAUUAAAUUGGAAUAUUAUCAAGUAGAGAUGACUUCAUAAUGAGGACCAUGUUGUAUGGCCCUCAAAUGUAGCAACACAAAUCUCGAAUUAUUUUUCCUUAUGAAUGUUGCAGUGGCAUGAACAAGGCCUGCAAUUAUCGUACCCUGUUGGUCUACAGCUAUGUAAAAAUGUUAGGUUAUUUUCCCUUGGUUUAGGAUUGCUUCACAAAGAUGGUACUGAUUUCUUUCCCUUUUGAUGUAGUUGUCUUGAUUUUGAUAGUUUUAUUCAGAUUAAUUUAUUUCUAUGGUUAAUUACUAAACUUAUAUCUACCAUUGUUUCCUAGGUCAAGUUGUCAAGGGACACCGAGCAUGACGACGAUGGGGGCAGGCAAUUCUCGUUUCUUCCCUUCUUCCCAUGGUGGUGGAUCCUUCUCUGGUGAUUCAGUAUUCAGAAAUGGCAUAUGCUUGUUUGUUUCCCUGGCUCAAAUAAAUCAAGCCUCCAAGUUACCAUUUGUAUACAAGUUCCUGCAUUCUUCAGCAGUUUGAUCAAUGUUUGGUGUUUGCAUUUUGCAGUCUUCAGUCCUCUACUUCUGAGGUUAGAGGAUAUGGGAUGCUAUCAUCAGUAACCUCCUUCAGAAGGGCCUUGUGAAAGCCGGAAAGUCAGUGUCACCUUGGUAUUGCUCUCAGGUUGUUCAGCAUGAGGCCUAGCUACAUUCUUGCACUGUGAGAGCCACAAGGAGCGUCUCGGAGGUGCUGCCAUGGUGAAAUGCCUGAGUGAUGCCGGGUGGGACUUUUCUGGGAACAACACCAUAAGGCAGUUCUUUAGCGUUGCGGCGGAGGACUUCGAUGUGGCCUUCGCCGCCAUGGGGUUGCUCGUUGUCAUUCUUUGUUUCGUUGCCAUGGCACUGCUCCUACCCGUCGCCGUCCUGGUCCGGCUGCUGCGCUCGUGCCAUGGGAAAUGGCUUAUCAGGGUAUGGGGAAUCGGCGAGUUGAGGUGGGUUUGGUGGUUUCAUGAUGAGAUGGUGGCAUGGGAUUUGAUGUUAGUUUCUUUAAUGAAGGGAUUUGGGGCUACGAGUUGUGCGUUGCUAGCCGGGAAUUUUUAGUCGGGUUACAUUUGUCGUUGGAGAUUUUGUAGGAUGUUAGCCUCGCCAAUAAUUACAUUAAUACAUGAUUUUUGUUUGGAUCAGC